rnacentral:rRNA from 1 species
GGGUUGUGAGGUUAAGCGACUAAGCGUACACGGUGGAUGCCCUGGCAGUCAGAGGCGAUGAAGGGCGUGCUAAUCUGCGAUAAGCGCCGGUAAGGUGAUAUGAACCGUUAUAACCGGCGAUACCCGAAUGGGGAAACCCAGUGUGACUCGUCACACUAUCAUUAACUGAAUCCAUAGGUUAAUGAGGCGAACCGGGGGAACUGAAACAUCUAAGUACCCCGAGGAAAAGAAAUCAACCGAGAUUCCCCCAGUAGCGGCGAGCGAACGGGGAGGAGCCCAGAGCCUGAAUCAGCAUGUGUGUUAGUGGAAGCGUCUGGAAAGGCGCGCGAUACAGGGUGACAGCCCCGUACACAAAAGCGCAUGUGCUGUGAGCUCGAUGAGUAGGGCGGGACACGUGGUAUCCUGUCUGAAUAUGGGGGGACCAUCCUCCAAGGCUAAAUACUCCUGACUGACCGAUAGUGAACCAGUACCGUGAGGGAAAGGCGAAAAGAACCCCGGCGAGGGGAGUGAAAAAGAACCUGAAACCGUGUACGUACAAGCAGUGGGANNNNNNNNNNNNNNNNNNNACUGCGUACCUUUUGUAUAAUGGGUCAGCGACUUAUAUUCUGUAGCAAGGUUAACCGAAUAGGGGAGCCGGAGGGAAACCGAGUCUUAAUUGGGCGUUAAGUUGCAGGGUAUAGACCCGAAACCCGGUGAUCUAGCCAUGGGCAGGUUGAAGGUUGGGUAACACUAACUGGAGGACCGAACCGACUAAUGUUGAAAAAUUAGCGGAUGACCUGUGGCUGGGGGUGAAAGGCCAAUCAAACCGGGAGAUAGCUGGUUCUCCCCGAAAGCUAUUUAGGUAGCGCCUCGUGAAUUCAUCUCCGGGGGUAGAGCACUGUUUCGGCUAGGGGGCCAUCCCGGCUUACCAACCCGAUGCAAACUGCGAAUACCGGAGAAUGUUAUCACGGGAGACACACGGCGGGUGCUAACGUCCGUCGUGAAGAGGGAAACAACCCAGACCGCCAGCUAAGGUCCCAAAGUCAUGGUUAAGUGGGAAACGAUGUGGGAAGGCCCAGACAGCCAGGAUGUUGGCUUAGAAGCAGCCAUCAUUUAAAGAAAGCGUAAUAGCUCACUGGUCGAGUCGGCCUGCGCGGAAGAUGUAACGGGGCUAAACCAUGCACCGAAGCUGCGGCAGCGACACUGUGUGUUGUUGGGUAGGGGAGCGUUCUGUAAGCCUGCGAAGGUGGCCUGUGAGGGUUGCUGGAGGUAUCAGAAGUGCGAAUGCUGACAUAAGUAACGAUAAAGCGGGUGAAAAGCCCGCUCGCCGGAAGACCAAGGGUUCCUGUCCAACGUUAAUCGGGGCAGGGUGAGUCGACCCCUAAGGCGAGGCCGAAAGGCGUAGUCGAUGGGAAACGGGUUAAUAUUCCCGUACUUGGUGUUACUGCGAAGGGGGGACGGAGAAGGCUAUGUUGGCCGGGCGACGGUUGUCCCGGUUUAAGCGUGUAGGUGUGUGUUCCAGGUAAAUCCGGUUCACUUUAACACUGAGGCGUGACGACGAGGCACUACGGUGCUGAAGCAACAAAUGCCCUGCUUCCAGGAAAAGCCUCUAAGCAUCAGGUAACAUCAAAUCGUACCCCAAACCGACACAGGUGGUCAGGUAGAGAAUACCAAGGCGCUUGAGAGAACUCGGGUGAAGGAACUAGGCAAAAUGGUGCCGUAACUUCGGGAGAAGGCACGCUGACACGUAGGUGAAGUGAUUUACUCAUGGAGCUGAAGUCAGUCGAAGAUACCAGCUGGCUGCAACUGUUUAUUAAAAACACAGCACUGUGCAAACACGAAAGUGGACGUAUACGGUGUGACGCCUGCCCGGUGCCGGAAGGUUAAUUGAUGGGGUCAGCGCAAGCGAAGCUCCUGAUCGAAGCCCCGGUAAACGGCGGCCGUAACUAUAACGGUCCUAAGGUAGCGAAAUUCCUUGUCGGGUAAGUUCCGACCUGCACGAAUGGCGUAAUGAUGGCCAGGCUGUCUCCACCCGAGACUCAGUGAAAUUGAACUCGCUGUGAAGAUGCAGUGUACCCGCGGCAAGACGGAAAGACCCCGUGAACCUUUACUAUAGCUUGACACUGAACAUUGAGCCUUGAUGUGUAGGAUAGGUGGGAGGCUUUGAAGUGUGGACGCCAGUCUGCAUGGAGCCGACCUUGAAAUACCACCCUUUAAUGUUUGAUGUUCUAACGUGGACCCGUUACCCGGGUUGCGGACAGUGUCUGGUGGGUAGUUUGACUGGGGCGGUCUCCUCCUAAAGAGUAACGGAGGAGCACGAAGGUUGGCUAAUCCUGGUCGGACAUCAGGAGGUUAGUGCAAUGGCAUAAGCCAGCUUGACUGCGAGCGUGACGGCGCGAGCAGGUGCGAAAGCAGGUCAUAGUGAUCCGGUGGUUCUGAAUGGAAGGGCCAUCGCUCAACGGAUAAAAGGUACUCCGGGGAUAACAGGCUGAUACCGCCCAAGAGUUCAUAUCGACGGCGGUGUUUGGCACCUCGAUGUCGGCUCAUCACAUCCUGGGGCUGAAGUAGGUCCCAAGGGUAUGGCUGUUCGCCAUUUAAAGUGGUACGCGAGCUGGGUUUAGAACGUCGUGAGACAGUUCGGUCCCUAUCUGCCGUGGGCGCUGGAGAACUGAGGGGGGCUGCUCCUAGUACGAGAGGACCGGAGUGGACGCAUCACUGGUGUUCGGGUUGUCAUGCCAAUGGCACUGCCCGGUAGCUAAAUGCGGAAGAGAUAAGUGCUGAAAGCAUCUAAGCACGAAACUUGCCCCGAGAUGAGUUCUCCCUGAGACUUAAAGUCUCCUGAAGGAACGUUGAAGACGACGACGUUGAUAGGCCGGGUGUGUAAGCGCAGCGAUGCGUUGAGCUAACCGGUACUAAUGAACCGUGAGGCUUAACCUUACAACGCCGAAG